CCUACGGGAGGCUGCAGUGAGGAAUAUUGGUCAAUGGGCUUACGCCUGAACCAGCCAAGUCGCGUGAGGGAAGACUGCCCUAUGGGUUGUAAACUUCUUUUAUAAAGGAAUAAAACGAGGCACGUGUGCCUUUUUGCAUGUACUUUAUGAAUAAGGAUCGGCUAACUCCGUGCCAGCAGCCGCGGUAAUACGGAGGAUCCGAGCGUUAUCCGGAUUUAUUGGGUUUAAAGGGAGCGUAGAUGGGUUGUUAAGUCAGUUGUGAAAGUUUGCGGCUCAACCGUAAAAUUGCAAUUGAUACUGGCAGUCUUGAGUACAGUUGAGGUAAGCGGAAUUCGUGGUGUAGCGGUGAAAUGCUUAGAUAUCACGAAGAACCCCGAUUGCGAAGGCAGCUUACUAAACUGUGACUGACAUUGAUGCUCGAAAGUGUGGGUAUCAAACAGGAUUAGAUACCCUUGUAGUC
rnacentral:rRNA from 1 species